AAUGGGCGCAAGCCUGAUCCAGCAAUGCCGCGUGGGUGAAGACGGCCUGCGGGUUGUAAAGCCCUUUAGGCGGGGAGGAACGACGGGACGCUAAUAUCGUUUCGAAGUGACGUUACCCGCGGAAUAAGCACCGGCUAACUCCGUGCCAGCAGCCGCGGUAAUACGGAGGGUGCGAGCGUUAAUCGGAAUUACUGGGCGUAAAGCGUGCGUAGGCGGUUUGGUCAGUCAGCCGUGAAAGCCCCGGGCUUAACCUGGGAACGGCGGUUGAGACGGCCAGACUGGAGUGGGCUAGAGGGUCGUGGAAUUCCGGGUGUAGCGGUGAAAUGCGUAGAGAUCCGGAGGAACACCGAUGGCGAAGGCAGCGGUCUGGGGCCACACUGACGCUGAGGCACGAAAGCGUGGGGAGCAAA
rnacentral:rRNA from 1 species